AAGAAAAUUGUCACUUUGCGACACUUGCAUUGCGACCAUUUGGCUGGAACCGUUGCAAUGUGCUGAAUUUUGAAAUUUUGCAACAGUACAUGCGACGGUUUUGUCAACCGUUGUAAUAUUUUGGCUUAAUUUGGGAAUUCUGCGACAGUUAAGUUAACCGUUGCAAUGUUUUGGCUUUUGCAAAAAAAGAAGAAAAAAAAUCACUACCUAACACGAUUUAUCAAAACUAACUCACACUAUCACAAAUCCCUAAAUCCCUAAAACAUGAUCUCCAGUGUCUUCAAUCGUUCUCUUCACCGUAAAUCCCUAAAUCACUCUCGGCAAUCUCGUUCUCUCCAACCUCUCCAUCGAUGUCUCCAAAGAGAAACCAUUCUCUUUAACUUCAUUAUUGUUCCAAUUCCAGAAAUUGUUGCCGUGGAGAAAUCGUUGCCGUCCUGAUACACGUUCAGAGAAAGUUAGGACUGGAGGGUUCAGCAAGGGUGCAUCUAUAACAUAACAUUAUACUCUGCAGCUUGUUAUCACAUGGGGAGAUUAUAUAGCUCAUUAUUUAUCAAUAUUUUCAGGAGGUGGUCAAAAAUCUUCGGUUGUCAUCCUCUCUAAAAGAUUUAUUCUCUUCCUUCAAGUUCAAUGGAAUGUUAAAAUGCAAGUCUGAUAGGUUGUUCUCAGAAGAAGUUUAGAGGCUAAAGAAUAUGCAUACUGGAGUUAUGAACUUGGAUGGUUCUUUGUAAAAUCCUAUUGAUUUUUUCAAGUAUGUCCUUUACUUUCCAAGCAUGGUUCGAGCAUAGAGGUAACCGAAUAAGAAGAGUCAAGUGAUGGUAGGCGUUUCUGAGUCUAGUGCACACUAAUUAAGGAUUAUGAAGCAACAUCACAUACUAGGGAUAUUUAGAUAUUUUUUGAACUUAUUUUGACGUGUUGUUAUGUUUAACCACUCUACUAAUAUUUAUGUUUUGAACUACAUUAGUUUCUUUCGUUUGGAACUUCAAGUACUUGAAUUAAAUUUUGAUGUAUGGAUCUUGUCACUAUUGAAUGAAUUAUAUAAAUGAGAUUAAG